AAUAUUGGACAAUGGGGGCAACCCUGAUCCAGCCAUGCCGCGUGUGUGAAGAAGGCCUUUUGGUUGUAAAGCACUUUAAGCAGUGAAGAAGACUCUAUGGUUAAUACCCAUGGACGAUGACAUUAGCUGCAGAAUAAGCACCGGCUACCUCUGUGCCAGCAGCCGCGGUAAUACAGAGGGUGCAAGCGUUAAUCGGAAUUACUGGGCGUAAAGCGAGCGUAGGUGGCUUGAUAAGUCAGAUGUGAAAGCCCCGGGCUUAACCUGGGAACGGCAUCUGAUACUGUUAGGCUAGAGUAGGUGAGAGGAAGGUAGAAUUCCAGGUGUAGCGGUGAAAUGCGUAGAGAUCUGGAGGAAUACCGAUGGCGAAGGCAGCCUUCUGGCAUCAUACUGACACUGAGGUUCGAAAGCGUGGGUAGCAAACAG
rnacentral:rRNA from 1 species